UACGUAGGGGGCAAGCGUUGUCCGGAUUUACUGGGUGUAAAGGGUGCUCAGGUGGCUUGGCAAGUCAGUGGUGAAAUCUGAGAGCUUAACUCUCAAACUGCCAUUGAUACUUCUUAGCUUGAGUACGGAAGAGGCUGAUGGAAUUUCAGGUGUAGCAGUGAAAUGCGUAGAUAUCUGAAAGAACACCAGUGGCGAAGGCGGUCAGCUGGUCCGUUACUGACACUAAAGCACGAAAGCGUGGGUAGCAAACAGG
rnacentral:rRNA from 1 species